rnacentral:rRNA from 1 species
UUGGUUAAGUUAGAAAGGGCGCACGGUGGAUGCCUUGGCACUAGGAGCCGAAGAAGGACGGGACUAACACCGAUAUGCUUUGGGGAGCUGUACGUAAGCGUUGAUCCAGAGAUUUCCGAAUGGGGGAACCCACUAUCUUUAGUCGGAUAGUAUCCUUACGUGAAUACAUAGCGUGAGGAAGGCAGACCCAGGGAACUGAAACAUCUAAGUACCUGGAGGAAGAGAAAGAAAAAUCGAUUUCCUGAGUAGCGGCGAGCGAAACGGAAAGAGCCCAAACCAAGAAGCUUGCUUCUUGGGGUUGUAGGACACUCUAUACGGAGUUACAAAAGAAAGUUAUAAAUGAAGCGGUCUGGAAAGGCCCGCCAAAGACGGUAACAGCCCGGUAGUUGAAAUGGCUUUCCCUCCAGAGUGGAUCCUGAGUACGGCGGAACACGUGAAAUUCCGUCGGAAUCCGGGAGGACCAUCUCCCAAGGCUAAAUACUCCCUAGUGACCGAUAGUGAACCAGUACCGUGAGGGAAAGGUGAAAAGCACCCCGGAAGGGGAGUGAAACAGUUCCUGAAACCGUGUGCCUACAAGUAGUUAGAGCCCGUUAAUGGGUGAUAGCGUGCCUUUUGUAGAAUGAACCGGCGAGUUACGAUUUGUUGCAAGGUUAAGCGGAAAAAGCGGAGCCGUAGCGAAAGCGAGUCUGAAUAGGGCGCAUAAGUAACAGGUCGUAGACCCGAAACCAGGUGAUCUACCCAUGUCCAGGAUGAAGGUAAGGUAAUACUUACUGGAGGUCCGAACCCACGCACGUUGAAAAGUGCGGGGAUGAGGUGUGGGUAGCGGAGAAAUUCCAAUCGAACUUGGAGAUAGCUGGUUCUCUCCGAAAUAGCUUUAGGGCUAGCCUCGAGGUAAAGAGUCAUGGAGGUAGAGCACUGUUUGGACUAGGGGCCCUUCUCGGGUUACCGAAUUCAGAUAAACUCCGAAUGCCAUGUACUUAUACUCGGGAGUCAGACUGCGAGUGAUAAGAUCCGUAGUCGAAAGGGAAACAGCCCAGACCACCAGUUAAGGUCCCCAAAUAUAUGUUAAGUGGAAAAGGAUGUGGGGUUGCUUAGACAACCAGGAUGUUGGCUUAGAAGCAGCCACCAUUGAAAGAGUGCGUAAUAGCUCACUGGUCGAGUGACCCCGCGCCGAAAAUGUACCGGGGCUAAACAUAUUACCGAAACUGUGGAUGAACCUCUUUAGAGGUUCGUGGUAGGAGAGCGUUCUAAGGGCGGUGAAGUCAGACCGGAAGGACUGGUGGAGCGCUUAGAAGUGAGAAUGCCGGUAUGAGUAGCGAAAGAAGGGUGAGAAUCCCUUCCACCGAAUAUCUAAGGUUUCCUGAGGAAGGCUCGUCCGCUCAGGGUUAGUCGGGACCUAAGCCGAGGCCGAUAGGCGUAGGCGAUGGACAACAGGUAGAGAUUCCUGUACCAGUGCUAAUUGUUUAACCGAUGGGGUGACACAGAAGGAUAGGGAAUCGCACGAAUGGAAAUGUGCGUCCAAGCAGUGAGUGUGAGAAGUA